rnacentral:tRNA from 1 species
GCCUGGGUAGCUCAGUCGGUUGAGCGUCCGACUUCAGCUCAGGUCACGAUCUCGCGGUCCGUGAGUUCGAGCCCCGCGUCGGGCU